UACAGAGGUCUCAAGCGUUGUUCGGAUUCAUUGGGCGUAAAGGGUGCGUAGGCGGCGCGGUAAGUCGGGUGUGAAAUCUCGGGGCUUAACUCCGAAACUGCAUUCGAUACUGCCGUGCUUGAGGACUGGAGAGGAGACUGGAAUUUACGGUGUAGCGGUGAAAUGCGUAGAUAUCGGAAGGAAGACCAGUGGCGAAGGCGGGUCUCUGGACAGUUCCUGACGCUGAGGUGCGAAAGCGUGGGGAGCAAACAGG
rnacentral:rRNA from 1 species